GACGAACGCUGGCGGCGCGCUUAACACAUGCAAGUCGAGCGAGAACUAGUCCUUCGGGACUAGGGACAGCGGCGAACGGGUGAGUAACACGUGAGUAAUCCACCCUCGGUACCGGAAUAGCCCGGGGAAACUCGGAUUAAUGCCGGAUGGCCCAUUUGCUCUUCGGAGCUGAAUGGAAAAGAUAGCUUCGGCCUUCGACCGGGGACGAGCUCGCGGCGGAUUAGCUUGUUGGCGGGGUAACGGCCCACCAAGGCGACGAUCCGUAGCUGGUCUGAGAGGACGAUCAGCCACACUGGGACUGAGACACGGCCCAGACUCCUACGGGAGGCAGCAGUGGGGAAUCUUGCGCAAUGGGCGAAAGCCUGACGCAGCGACGCCGCGUGAGGGAAGAAGGGCCUUCGGGUUGUAAACCUCUUUC
rnacentral:rRNA from 1 species